GGGCGCAUAGCUCAGUUGGUUAGAGCGCGUCUCUGAUAAGGACGAGGUCAUUGGUUCAACUCCAAUUGCGCCCA
rnacentral:tRNA from 1 species